GAGAAAAAACGUCCACUUCUAACCCCUAUAUAUAUGUAGCUUAUCACAUCACACUAAUUUUGUUCUACCAAAGGCAGUUGGCGUACAAAUCUUACUCUCCACUCGAUCUACUUCCAACUAUAUAUCUGCUGCUAGUCUCGCAAUGAAGCUUGGCAUGAUCAUGGUUGCUGGGCUGAUUUUCAUCAACUUGUGCACCUGCAUGCCAAGGAAUGUGGUGAAGCAUGGAUCAGAGGAUAGAAGGACCGUACCACAGGAGGUAAUGCGCAAUCUGAUGGCCGGCACGGACGGAAGGAAUGGGCCUCCUAGCAACGAUCACCAGUGCCCACUCGGCACCUACCCAAAUUGUGAGAUGUCCCAGAACACUCAACGAGCAGCACAAGAUGUUGGAGGAAGUUAACUGAGCAUAAGAAUGAUGAGCUGAAUAUAUAAUACCCAUACAUAGUUUUAAUCUCCAAAUGAGUUAUUUGGCAUGAUUGAACAGAACAAGCUUUUGGAUGCCAAUUAAUUAAGUUGUCAAUGUUUCUGUAGUACGUCAACGUACGUACAUGAUGUAUUUCACCUGCAGCUUGAUGCCUAUAUGCAUUAGUGGUGAUAAUGUUAAUUAUGGGUCUCUUGUUUUGUAAUCAAGGUCUCCUUGUAAUGGGUAUAUAUCAUAAUUGAUCGUUAGAUGAACUGAUGAA